AGAAAUGACCCGAGGGGGGCAGGGGGGAUUGGAGUUUCUGUUGCAGUAUAAUUCUAAAUGCGUUCAAUGUAUUUCUAAAUGCAGGAAAGGUCCACAGCUGGGUGCCAAGGAGGAAUAAUCCCGUGUUCCCCAUGCCAAGGAGGAGCAGCACAAUUCCUUGAAGUUUCACCCCGGAAAAUGCCACGGAAGCACUUUGGGGCAAUCCUGUUUGAACAUGCCGCGUCACUCCUGUAGAACAAAGAGGGAGCCAGCGCCGCCAGGAAGACGGGAGAAGCGUCUCUUGCUCCGGAGCGAUGAUUCUUAUCCAGGAAAAACAAGAGUUUGUCAACCAACCAACCAAAAGGGGAAAAAAAUACCCCAACCUUGAGAGGGGGGUCAAAAGAGCUGGAGAGAAGAGGAGGAAGGCCCUCAGCGCAGACCUCACUCCUCAGGGCCCCUUAGUGGCAAUGCAAGUGGACAGCUGUUGGCCGAGACCCAUAGUGGCAGACAGACUCCAAGCAAUAAACCCGUUUCGCUCACAUUUCUGCGCCUCCCAACGCUCUGCAGCCACCCGCCCACCCCUGGCACAGUGUUUUCUGGAGACAGAAGUGCACCCACAGGAGCUGCUUCCUCAGUGGGGCCCGAUAUCUGCAGGCCGGGACAAGGCGCAGGACGACCUCUCCAUGUCUUACACGGGCAUGGGGGCUAGUGGUGGAACCACAUUUCCCCCAACCCCAGACCAUGGGGCUAAUGGCAGGGAAUCGGGGAGACUCCAGCAACCUCUCGAGGCUGUGGGGGCCCCACCCCCCCCAGAAGCGGGGCCGGGGCUGGCAGACAUGGCUGCCUGUAGCCUUUGGCAUACCCCCCUUCAGGCACAAAAUUAGGGGCAGGCUGGUGACUUGCAUGCCCCGCUCUCUGUGACGCAACGGCUUCCUGCUCCCUCAACCCAGCCAUCAUGCUGGGAGCCAUGAAAACACCCACCUUUUGCCAGGAAGGGCCUGGUUCAAGGCCCCCCUCGCCAACCCCACUCUUCUCCCCAAGGCCCACUUUGGUUUCUCUCAACUCUGUUGAUUUUCCAGACUGUAAACGGGCCAUGUUGUUUAUUCCAGACUCAUGGAUUUUAGGACACAGCCAAGGAUACAAGGGAUGGGCGGGCAGGAGAGACUGGCGCUCAGAGCAGUAAAACCCACGCCAAGGAAGCCCUUCAAAGCAACCACAGCGGCUUUAACGCUCACUUUCCCUGCGACGCCCCAGAACAAAAAGGGUUCUAGAGGGCGGCUGGAAGCCAACAGAAACGUUUGCUCCAGCAGCUUCCUUGGAACAGGACCUCCUCUGCGUACCGAUGCACACAACUAUCUGGAACUUGCUCCAGGGCCAAACUGCUCUUCAAACUCUGCAAUGCUUGGCUGAGCGGGAAGGAGGGGAAAUUGGGAACAGCAGACCCCAGGCUCUGAAGGACCAGGACGCUCCGUCCAAACCUUGGAAAUCUGGCAGCCCCCAAGACGCCAGUGGGGCAGCGGUAGAGAAAUGUGUUCUCGGUCCCCCCCCCCCAGCACUCAAGGUCUUUGGCCGCCCUGCUGUAAAAAUAUCUGGACCCCCCAGCUGCCGUGCCGACGAACAGGAGGAACUGGCUGUUUCGGUGUGUGCCGUCCCUGAAGCGCCUUCCGGAAGCCAUCAGAGGAGGAGCUGAUCCGGAGGCAGUUUUCAUAACCUUGUGCAAGAUAGGAAUUAUACAAAAGGCUCCGAUUUGAUUUCGUGUUCUUGGCCUACUUGGCUGAAGCCUGCAGGGGAAGACGCCGAGCUCCUGCUUGGAGCCUCCACGGAGCGCAUUCAGGCGGCUGAAGCAAGGGAGGCAGGAUGGGCCUGCCAAUUUGUUGAUCUUAGGGUUUUUUUUAUUUUCGCAAGCUCACCCAGUUUGUUGACCCGGGAGCAGGGCCGUGACUUGCAACAGGCUGCUGCGUUUUCAUGGGAGUGUUCCGGAGCAUGGCUGCUAAAGGUGGUGCAUCUUCAAGGGUGGGAAGGAGGCAGCCAGGAAAGGCACCCGGGGUGCCAAGAAGAGGCGGGGAGCCGAGGAAAGAUCUGACGCACCCGGUUCUGUUGGCUAAAGUAAACACACACACCGGUUUCAAGCCAACGUGCCAAAGGGGUAUCUCCCCAACCGUCCUCCACGCAGCACUGACGCUGCGCUCACGUGUUCGCUCCCCUCCGCCUUCACGAGGUCCAGCUUGCACUGCCGCCUGGGACCCCAGUGCGACUCCCUCGGGGACAGGCUCCCCUUGGGGACGGUGCUGGGAGCCAGGCUGGAAGGAAACCUAUUCCCUGCCCUCCUGCGAGAUUGGGGUCAGAGGGAAGAGCUUAGAGGCGCUCCAGGGAGGGAGUGUGAAUCACAGCCAGGACGGGAGAACCUGGGCAAACCCAGGGCUUUCGCUUGACCAGAGGCCACCCGUGCGACUUCAUACAGCAAAGCAGUGCCACCUGAGCCCAGCCCCACUUCAGGGGGUCAGGAAGGGCUACUGCAGACGCAGGCUGGAAGUCCCCCCUCAGCUUAAGGCUGCGACCUCCUCCUCUGCCCCUCACUUCUAUUGCAGGGGUCUCCACCACUCCCAUGUUGCUUGCACCGCAUCGAGCCGGCAUGGGCAGACCUUUCGUCGCCGAGGCCGUAAAACCCUUGCAAACGAUGCCGCGGGUCUUGUGAACGAACGUCCAAUUCCCCUGCCUUGGAGCAACUUUCUCCUUGCAGCUCCCUGAACCCGGGUUGAAACGUUCCCAAGACAUCAAGCUGAGAAAAGGUCACUUAGCCUGACACAGGGUCCGGCGGGGCCUUAAGGACCUCUGAUGCGGUCAAGGGUCCACCUUUGCAGAAAAGCCGUUGGGCAGGCUUCUUCCAGGUCCCUGGACCCAGGUGGGGUCUCCAUCUUGCCUGGACGGGAUCCGACUCCUCGCACUUCCAUCCUCCUUGCAGCACAGACGCCAAUUCUGACAUUCACCGCGGUCUCCCGAAAAAGCAAGAGACUGAAGGAAUCCCAGCAGACUUACUUAAAAGGUUUAUUUAACUUUUUUUUUAAAAUUUGAGGUAAAAUAUUUCAUAUCAACU